UACGUAGGGGGCAAGCGUUGUCCGGAAUCAUUGGGCGUAAAGCGCGUGUAGGCGGCUUGGUAAGUCUGCUCUGAAAGCCCGGGGCUCAACCCCGGGAGGCGGGUGGAUACUGUCAAGCUCGAGUCCGGAAGAGGAGAUUGGAAUUCCUGGUGUAGCGGUGAAAUGCGUAGAUAUCUGGAGGAACACCGGUGGUGUAGACGGCUUUCUGGACCGUAACUGACGCUGAGACACGAAAGCGUGGGUAGCAAACAGG
rnacentral:rRNA from 1 species